UAACAAAGGAGUGUAUUUCAAAGAAGGCACUCUGUGUUUUCCACCCUUUUUCUGAAGUGUUUUCAAACACACUCCAAGCUAAAAAUUCUCAGAAGUGAGAAAAAGAGGUAUAUAUCAGACGACCCCUGAAGCAGCUGACAAUCCCAGGGAGCAGAAGAUAGGGUCAGAUUCUAGAUGCUUGAAUCCCAAAUACAUUUUCACCAUAGGAGGCCCUGAUUUAUUUUUGCCCUACCCACUGGUUGCAAACUUUGAAAUGCACAAUACAAAAGCAUUGGACUAAUGCCCUACUUGCAUUUUUUUAUUUGGCUGAAAUGUGACAUGUCUUGUUUUUUUUUGUCUGGUUCCAAAAGACAUUGGUCAGGUCCUUUGUUGUGAAAAGACAUUGCAUCUGCCUUAAUCUAUAUAUCUUCUUAAUUAAAUAAAGGAUUAGCAUUUGUUUAGGCUAUAAUAAAACAAGUUGUCAGGCAAUAUCAAUAUAGGCAUCGUAAGGAAUCUGCUAAACACAAAAUUAAGAAAAAAUUAACUAUUUUUCUAAUUAUCAUCUAGGUGGUUAUCUGGCGUGAAAGCAAUGGUCCAGACAAUCUCUCCAGUCCAAAGAAGAGUAAGAAGGAAGAUGAAGGAAAAGGAAAACUGGAAGUGAAUCUGUAACCCAAGAUGACAAAAGUAACACCAGAUCUUGACAAUCAAAUAUAGGAGGAAAAUAUACAAAUCUCCUAUUAAUGUCUGUCGUGAAAACUUGUGAUGACCUGAAGAGCGUCUGUAACUAUUGGCCAGGAUCAUAAAUCACCCAUCUACGUGGAAUCCCACAGAACUGAAGCAGACAAUACUUUUACAUCUGAUAUCUUGAAGUGUUGCCUUUUCUGGGGAUAGAACCAAAAGAACUAUGGAUACCUGAACCUGCUGUUACAAAAGGAGAAUGAAGGUUACACAUUCAACUGACACUGCUCGGAAUGUACGAUAUGGUUAAAUGUUAUGCUAAAGGUACUGAAGUGAGCAUAUUUUUCACUGUAUG